AUGAAGCUUAUCUCAUGGAAUUGCCGGGGGUUGGGGAAUGGCCCGGCAAUUCGCAGCCUUCUGGAGCUCCAGAAGGAGGAGGACCCCGAUGUGUUUUUUUCGGAAACAAGGAUGGUGCAUGGCAGGAUGGAAUGGUUGAGGUGGAAGAUGGGCAUGACCAAUAUGAUUGUAAAAGACUGCGAGGGGCAGAGUGGUGGACUGGCUUUGUUUUGGAAGAAUCAAGUUAAUCUCAAGCUAAUUGGGUUUGUCUCUCGGUACCAUAUUGAUACGGAAAUUACUGAAUUGGAUGGAUUCAUUUGGCAGUUCACAGGGAUUUAUGGAGAACCAAAGCAUGAUGAAAAGGAUAAGAGUGGAAAUUACUGCGAAACCUGA
rnacentral:rRNA from 1 species